rnacentral:lncRNA from 1 species
AAAGAACCUAAAUAUCUGCUGGGAGUGCAUACAAUUAAUCAAUUUUCUCUUUUGUGUUGUUUUUCACACAGAGCGAUGAGGCAAGAGAGAAGUUUUUAAAAAUAGAAAAAUGUGAUUGCAUAAACGUCGUUGUUGACAGGAGGACUCAGUGGAUUCAGCAAGAUCCAGAGAGGUUGUGUCAGUUGAUCUAUACACGGGUUCCUGCAUUUGUCAAAUAUAACUGUAGGUGCUGCCUGUAUGAAAGAGCUGAGCCACACCAUCCACUAAACUGUCUAGAGCAGCAGUUGGCUUGCUUGGAAGUUGCUUCCAGGACUGUAUUGUAA